CUCAGCCCGUGCGGGCGGAGCACCGGGUACGGCUUACAUUUCUCCUCUCCCCUCCUCGCAGCCGUCCCCUCUUCCAAGGGCAGGCGCCGAGCCGGGCGGGGGAUAUCGGCCUUUGCAGGGAAGAGGCUGAUUGUAGAGGAGGAGAAGGCUGCCAAGCACACUAGGUCAAGAGUGAAAAGAG